GCGGGCAUGGCGGAAUUGGCAGACGCGCCAGAUUUAGGUUCUGGUGUCUAAGACGUGCAGGUUCAAGUCCUGUUGCCCGCA
rnacentral:tRNA from 1 species